UCAGUCGUCAUAGCGAACCCUUGACGUCGCAGAUCCAGUGGCCAGCUGUUACUAAUCUCGUCACUCCCUUUGCCAGCUGAUCGCAGACGCCGGUAAACGUGAGAGACGAAAACGGAGGAAUCACUUCACUAGCGAGAUGAACAAAAAUCAUACAGGUUUCAAAAGACAUGGGCCUUACCUUGUCCUCUGGCCUCCACCCCAAAUGCCUGCUGAUUCAUGUCUGCGUGUCUGCGCCGGCUUGCUGGAUGGGGGAUGGUGGAAUGAACGAGGGACACAGAGUACUGAGAAAGAAUGGUAGAUGAUUACCAAACACAGUUCGGGGAGGGAAGCACGACAGAAAGUUCGUAGUGGAUGCUGAUGAAUGAAUAUUGGCUGACCGACCACAGUUCUUCUCUGGCAAACUUUAUGACCCUGUCCUGACGCUAAAGCUGCCAGCUGAAGAACUGUUGUGGUCAGCUCUACCCAUCUGAGAGUGCUGUGGAUCUUAUUCACUCUGUAUCAUCUCUGUUGUAGAUCUUGGACGAUGGAUGAUAUUUUAAAUUUCACAUUUUAAUUAUUGAAGCAAAUUUUUUUUGAGAAAAUAUUUCUUAGUCAUUUUUAAAUAUUUUAUAAAUUAACAAUUUAUCAAGCACUUUAAUAUGUUUGAACUUCAGGGUGAUUUUUUUUUUUUUUCUUUUAGAUCUGUAUCUAAAAUUUAAAUUUAUGGUCAUGAAAAUAUGAAUAGAAAUUUGUGAACUUUUUUUUAUCAAAUAUAUAUAAUAUCAAACUACCUGAUAAAUGAGUUGUAUAAUAUAUAUUUGAAGUAUGCAGGAUAUUUUGCAUGGCAGACAUAAUUUUCUGUACGUUUAGCCACAACAGCUGCUGGCUCCUGGUAUAAAACUAAAGGGGAAACUUGCAUGUGUCCAAUAAAAGUAUACUGCAAAUC